UUGAUUGUAGUGUGGAAAUUCAGGAACAGUGGCGGUAAUAUUAUUUAACCUCUUGUACUCCGGUCAUUUGAACAUUAUAAGGACACCCUUACAUAAAGAUGCUUUUAUUAAUUUUAGUGGGCUGGAAAUGAAAACGCAAGAUAUACAGCGCAGGCCUAGAGGGUCAUACAAGUGCCCUUUUACAGGACCUAACCUGUAAAUCUCAAAGCACAAAAGAAGUUACCGUGGCUAUAAGACCUCAUAAAAAGGAAGGAAGAAAAAUCUAUUACUUAAUCCAAUAACCUGGUAUCUUCUUCUAUAAAUUCAAACUGCACUUAAAUACUGCUUGACUAAUCGCUUACACAUUCUCAUAAAGUAUGCUGAGAAAGACAUCAUGAUCCUCUAUUUUGCAGACUGAGAAGUCAGCUAACUUAGUGCAACAUGCCAAUCAUUGCUAUAGAGAGAUGGUGAUUUUCAUUUGACCUGAUUUUUUACAAAGAGGAAGGCCC